GACGAACGCUGGCGGCGUGCUUAACACAUGCAAGUCGAACGGAAAGGCCCUGCUUUUGUGGGGUGCUCGAGUGGCGAACGGGUGAGUAACACGUGAGUAACCUGCCCUUGACUUUGGGAUAACUUCAGGAAACUGGGGCUAACACCGGAUAGGAGCUCCUGCUGCAUGGUGGGGGUUGGAAAGUUUCGGCGGUUGGGGAUGGACUCGCGGCUUAUCAGCUUGUUGGUGGGGUAGUGGCUUACCAAGGCUUUGACGGGUAGCCGGCCUGAGAGGGUGACCGGCCACAUUGGGACUGAGAUACGGCCCAGACUCCUACGGGAGGCAGCAGUGGGGAAUAUUGCACAAUGGGUGGAAGCCGGAUGCAGCAACGCCGUGUGCGGGAUGACGGCCUUCGGGUUGUAAACCGCUUUCGCUCAUGACGAAGCUUUGUGUGACGGUAGUGGGUAAAGAAGCACCGGCUAACUACGUG
rnacentral:rRNA from 1 species